rnacentral:lncRNA from 1 species
UUUAUCAGGCAUUAAUGGCAAGCAAUUUAUAAAAACAACUAAUUAGUAUUUCUUUUGUACAGAAUUAGCUUAAAGCUUAGCUUAGAGAAAACAGAGAGGGAAAAACUCAACAGCACACAAAGCAAACAGAAGCAUCGUAGUUUAUAAACGGGGCCAAGAGGGGAAAAGCUCUCCCACGUUCUCUGAUGUGACAAUCAAAUCCCUCCCCUCCCCACAGGUAUACUUGUUGGGGCCAUGUGUCACUGUUGGCUGGAGCAGGGUAGGCUUACUCCCUCUGAAAUAAUUUCCAUACUCUUUCAGUUAAAGAAAAGCCAGAGCUAGAAAAAGCAGUGAAUAAUCUUUAAGUUUCUUUAAGCUUAAAGUUUCCUAUUUCCCUGUGCCCUCAUAUCUUCAAAUAUCUCACCUUCUUAUUACCAUUUCUUACAACAUAAGCUAUGAGUCCAUAGAAUGUGGAAACUAUAUAAACACCAAUUUCUAAUCUAGUACAGAGUGGGAAGAGACCUGUCCUGUACUGGCAAACACUCAUCUUCAUAUCUUUUCGUGAAACUCUUAGGUCUUCUUGUGGAACCAAGAUAACAGCUACUGCUGCACAGUAACUAUUAUAGUAAAGAACAAAUCUGAUCAUUUUUACAGCUUUCUGCAACAGUCUCACCAACCCCUAACUUCUCCCACCUACCUUUGUUGUUCCUUUAGCCUGAAGCUCAUCUACAGCCUAAAUUUAGCCUAAAGCUCACCUAUAAG